rnacentral:rRNA from 1 species
GAGUUUGAUCAUGGCUCAGGAUGAACGCUGGCGGCGUGCCUAAUACAUGCAAGUCGAACGAACAGAUAAGGAGCUUGCUCCUUUGACGUUAGCGGCGGACGGGUGAGUAACACGUGGGUAACCUACCUAUAAGACUGGAAUAACUCCGGGAAACCGGGGCUAAUGCCGGAUAACAUGUUGAACCGCAUGGUUCUACAGUGAAAGACGGUCUUGCUGUCACUUAUAGAUGGACCCGCGCCGUAUUAGCUAGUUGGUGGGUAACGGCCUACCAAGGCGACGAUACGUAGCCGACCUGAGAGGGUGAUCGGCCACACUGGAACUGAGACACGGUCCAGACUCCUACGGGAGGCAGCAGUAGGGAAUCUUCCGCAAUGGGCGAAAGCCUGACGGAGCAAACGCCGCGUGAGUGAUGAAGGUCUUCGGAUCGUAAAGCUCUGUUGUUAGGGAAGAACAAAUAGUGUAAGUAACUGUGCAUAUCUUGACGGUACCUAACCAGAAAGCCACGGCUAACUACGUGCAGCAGCCGCCG